UUUUGAAUAAAAACACCCCAUUUAGUGCUCUGUUACAGGGUCUAGAAGGAGUAAUUUAGUAUACGAGGGCUUCUAAUUAUAGCGUACAAGUCCUGUGAUUAUAAGGUUCUUGUACCAGUGGCUUGGUCCGCAAGAAAGGGUUUAAUUUAAGCCUUCUCGUUUUUUUUUGGGCGAGGUAAAUCAUAGGGUAGGCCAGGUGUGAGAGAGUAAGAGCAAUGUGCCUUGGUGGAAAAAAAAAUCGAAAGGAGAUGCUUCACAGUUAGCCUACCCUACGAUUUCUACAGAGGGCGGCCGGGAUGGCCUCCAGUGUGCUAGUGCCCUAAAGAAGACCCCUGACCAAUGAAUAUGGGAGGUAGCUUAUAGGGGCUAACGGGGCAGCGGUGGCCUCACACUUGAGCUACGCUGUGAUUUGGUCUCACAGUUGGUCUACCCUAUGAUUUGACUUGGUGAAAAUGGUAAGGCUAACCACGGCGCUGAAAACACUAUAAUGAUAGUAAGGAGUACCCUAUAUUAUAGGGCCUAUAGGCUAUGGCUACAGGGUAUAGCCCCUUCGGAGAAAUUAUAGGGUAGGUCAGAUGUGACGGGAAUUAUCGUAGGGUAGGUCAAGUGUGGCCAAAAAAUAUAGCGCUCGAUAGGCUGAAAGUAUAGUGGAUGAUACCCUAUAUUACAGGGGGCGUACGCUGUAAUCACAGGGUAUGAGCCCCCUAAGAAAAUCUCCAGGGUAGGUCAGGUGUGAGAGAUGAAAUCACAGGGUAGGUUAAGUGUGAGACGCCUUUGGUGCACCCGGGGGGCCCGGCAGCGAGGGGUGGGGCAUAUGUUCUAGGCUAUACAAGAGGCGUAGGAUGUAAUGCCGGUAUCUGUUUUGUCCUAGUUGCGUUGCAGCGCGAGAUAAAAAUAGGGCGUCGAGUGCUUCUAAGGACCCCCUUCAGCGCAUUUUUUAGGGCAUUCGGGGCACCUCUCAUUUUUACAGUGAGGGGCCAUAGGGUACCCCUACCCUAAGUGCCCUAUAGCUGUACGCUGAAAACUUUUUCACGGGGUAAAUCAAGUGUAAGGGAACUUUAUAGCGCUUGUUACCCUGAAAAUAGAGUGGACGGUGACCUAUAGCUAUAAGGGCUGCACCCUGUAGCUACAGGGUAUCACCGCCCAAAGAAAAUCUCUCUAGGGUAGGCCAGGUGUGAGGGUGGGGGUCCCAUCCCUUAUGAAAUUUACUUGAUCCCAGGGGGCAGGAUUAUUUGGCCCCCCCCCGAAUUUGUCGGAAAAUACUGCGCCGCCCGUAGGGCAUUGCGUGCGUCCAACGUGGCUAACCAUAGUCGGUGGGUAUAUAGAGGGGAGUGAUCGAAGGGUCAGACGAAAAGUGAUAAGUUGAAGUGAAGACUACACAUUCUAGUGGGUGGUCAUAGGGGCUAUAAGGGUAGUAUAAAUAUAGGGUUAGGAGGUCCUUUGGGGGUAUUUAGCGCAUGCAUACGCUAUAAUUUUAGUGGACUUGGGGAUUGUAGACGCUGGCUGUGAGCGCUGGAACACUCUGAAUCCUUGGGGUCAGAGAGUUAGGGAUUGUCGCUUAGUGGAUUCUGGGGCUAUGGGCUUGGGGGGGCUUCUACUAGUCAUAGCGCUAGUAGAGGCAGGGAGGGGCCCGCCGCCCCGGCCUGGAGAUAGGCAGAAGGCGAGGAGGGAGGAGUCAAGAGGGAGAUCGCAGGGUAGGCUAGGUGUGCGGCGGCGCGGGGGAGAGCGAGAAAUUGGACUUUGGAGGAGAUUUUUAUUUUUCUUCCCUUUCCAAUUUUCCUUCCUUGGGGACUCCCCGGAAACUAAAAUAGUAAUGUAGACGCUGGGAUGCGCGUCUAUCUAGGGCUGUUCAGGGUGAGAUUCGGGGUACAUUCGGUGUUUUGGCCCAAGCAGAACUCUAGGGUAGGCUAGGUGUGAGGAGACAUUACUACAGGGUAGGUCAGGUGUGAGAGGUUCACAGUUGGCCUACCCUACGAUCUGCUUCGACAAUUCUUCGAGGGAAAKUCAUAGGGUAGGUCAGGUGUGAGAUCGUAGGGUAGGCUAGGUGUGAGAUCAUAGGGUAGGCCAGGUGUGAGAAAUCACAGGGUAGGCUCGGUGUAGGCAUAGGCUAGGGCCUCAGGAGGGCGCUGGGGGAUAGGGGGCUAUACUCUCUAGGCUAUAUCAACUACAGAGAGUCUAUUGCCGCUGUCCGUCUUGCCCUCAGAGGCCUUCCGAAGAAGUUAGAAAGGAGGUGUCGGGUGGUCCAAGGGACCCCCUUCAGCGUGUUCAGGGCUUGAUUCUAGGCACCUUUGAUUUUUAUAGUAGGGGGCUACAGUGGGUGCCCCCCUGAAGGCCCUGAAGGGGUGCGCUGAAAAUAUUUCUACAGGGUAGGUCAGGUGUGCAAAUUGACUUGGUGAAAUUUUCCCCGACCAAGAUCGCAGGGUAGGUUAGGUGUGAAGAAGGGGUGGCGGCCGAAAGUGGUGCCGGGAAAAAAUUAGACUUUUUAAAUGGGCCGGCCGACCAGAAAUCCCUCCCCCCAUCUGCGUUUGAAUAUUAUAGGGGGCCCGUAGCUCAAGUAUAGGUCCGAUCUACGGUGAUCCCGCGGUCAAAUUGCAGCACCUCGAUCGAGACCCCCCCUCUUCAUCUUUUUCCUCGAACCUACUCAGACCCCCCUGGCCUCAUGUACCACUGGGGGGUAUCUGGGCUGGGAAAUGCAGUAGUGAGGUCAAUAGGGUCGUAGGGACGCUGGAGUCCCGGGAAUAGAGGGUGUCGGGCCAGAGCUGGGACCUAGCGCAGGUGAAUCAGCGCGAGAAUCCACGGGGGGUCGGUUUCGGGGCCUCCAGGACCCCUGGGAGCCCCCCUAGAGAGGGUGUUGGGGGACCCCCCUUAGAGGCCCCCCCUAUGCCGGGAGAAUGCCCCGGAGACGGCCCUUAAAGGUGUGGUAUACCCUGAGGGAGUACCCUGUAGAAAUUCCUUAGGGCCCCUAACAGCCUAACCCCAGCCCCUAACCCCCCAACCCUACUCCCCCCAAAGGGAUGUGCUCGUGGGUGGCUCUCACGGCCGUCUCGGUUUUGCUGACGAUUCUGCGGAUUAUUUUGGGGUUGGGGGGGGGGGGUCCGAAAAAUUUGUUCACACAAAUAAUUUAUCGGAAAAUCCCCCCCCCCCGGUGCUGCAUUUGUGUGCAUCCAACGAGGCUAACCAUAGUCGGUGGGUAUAUGAAGGGAAGAAAAAAAAAGAGACCGAAAAAAGUAUGAAGCCUAUAACUUAUAGCGUGUUAAUGCUGGGCUUAGGUGCUCUCCUCUUUUAUAGGGUUUCUGACCCCCCUUCUGUCGCUGUUUACAGCGCGGAGUGGUGCCCUAAGCACUGGAUGUAUCAUACUCGUGUGUCCACUGUCUAUCGCCGUACUUUUGCCAGUGUGCGAAGGGGCCCAGCUUGUCCGGCAGAGCAGAGGAACAUUUAUUGCUGAAGCAGGUGCUACCACGUAAAACUGGGAAGCCUGUGGAGGCGCCCGACGACUUGUCAGCUUCGGUUGGCAGGCUCUGUUGGAGUCUGUGGAUUACUGGCCGAUGGCCAACAUUCUAUCCUAGACACUCGGGGGCAAGCCUGAACCGGUAUCCGUCUCGCGACGUGACCGGUGAACGGUAUCCUCCUCCUGCGGGGCAGAUCUUACACUGAGCGCGGGUGCCUAGCGCCCAACCUCCCGUGUAGGGGACCGUCCUGUGGGGAACAUAGUGGGGGCAAUUGGAUAGCGGAUCAGCCCUGUGUAGCCUCGCUCCAGGGUGCGGUCCGCUGUGACCUCGGUCACCUCUCAGUGAACUACUCUGCCGCUUUCAGCGGUCUGGGUCGCCCCCCGGGGCCUCCCUCAAGAUAGU